CCUACGGGAGGCAGCAGUGGGGAAUUUUGGACAAUGGGCGCAAGCCUGAUCCAGCCAUGCCGCGUGCGGGAAGAAGGCCUUCGGGUUGUAAACCGCUUUUGUCAGGGAAGAAAUCCUUUGGGCUAAUACCUCGGAGGGAUGACGGUACCUGAAGAAUAAGCACCGGCUAACUACGUGCCAGCAGCCGCGGUAAUACGUAGGGUGCGAGCGUUAAUCGGAAUUACUGGGCGUAAAGCGUGCGCAGGCGGUUAUGCAAGACAGAUGUGAAAUCCCCGGGCUUAACCUGGGAACUGCAUUUGUGACUGCAUAGCUCGAGUACGGCAGAGGGGGAUGGAAUUCCGCGUGUAGCAGUGAAAUGCGUAGAUAUGCGGAGGAACACCGAUGGCGAAGGCAAUCCCCUGGGCCUGUACUGACGCUCAUGCACGAAAGCGUGGGGAGCAAACAGGAUUAGAUACCCUGGUAGUCCACGCCCUAAACGAUGUCAACUGGUUGUUGGACGGCUUGCUGUUCAGUAACGAAGCUAACGCGUGAAGUUGACCGCCUGGGGNGGACGGCGCGAGUAGAACGACAAGUAGAGUAGAGGCGUGAGACGUUGCCGACGGACGACGACGAGGGAGGAGG
rnacentral:rRNA from 1 species